UGAGCCCCGGGGGCCCCUUUAGCUAGGUUGGGUAGGGGUAACCGGCCCUACCCAAGGCUUAUGAAUGGGGUAGCUGGUUUUGAGAGGGACGAUUCAGCCCACACUGGAAAUUGAGACACCGGUCCCAGACUCCUACGGGAGGCAGCCAGUGGGGAAUAUUGCGCAAUGGGCGAAAGCCUGACGCAGCAACGCCGCGUGGGGGAUGAAGGUUCUCGGAUUGUAAACCCCUUUCGACCGGAACGAAUCUCCUCUUGGUAAAUAAUCAGGAGGAUCGACGGUACCGGGAGAAGAAGCCACGGCUAACUCUGUGCCAGCAGCCGCGGUAAGACAGAGGUGGCGAGCGUUGUUCGGAUUUAUUGGGCGUAAAGCGAACGCAGGCGGUUUGGUAAGUCAGAGGUGAAAGUCCACAGCUUAACUGUGGCACUGCCUUUGAUACUGCCUUUCUUGAGUAGAGUAGGGGGAAGCGGAAUUCCGAGUGUAGAGGUGAAAUUCGUAGAUAUUCGGAGGAACACCGGUGGCGAAGGCGGCUUCCUGGACUCUAACUGACGCUCAUGUUCGAAAGCGUGGGUAGCAAACAGGAUUAGAUACCCUGGUAGUCCACGCCCUAAACGAUGGGCACUAGGUGUGGGAGGUAUCGACCCCUUCCGUGCCGCAGCUAACGCAUUAAGUGCCCCGCCUGGGGAGUACGGCCGCAAGGUUG
rnacentral:rRNA from 1 species